rnacentral:rRNA from 1 species
GAUGAACGCUGGCGGCGUGCCUAAUACAUGCAAGUCGAGCGAACAGACGAGGAGCUUGCUCCUCUGACGUUAGCGGCGGACGGGUGAGUAACACGUGGAUAACCUACCUAUAAGACUGGGAUAACUUCGGGAAACCGGAGCUAAUACCGGAUAAUAUAUUGAACCGCAUGGUUCAAUAGUGAAAGACGGUUUUGCUGUCACUUAUAGAUGGAUCCGCGCCGCAUUAGCUAGUUGGUAAGGUAACGGCUUACCAAGGCGACGAUGCGUAGCCGACCUGAGAGGGUGAUCGGCCACACUGGAACUGAGACACGGUCCAGACUCCUACGGAGGCAGCAGUAGGGAAUCUUCCGCAAAGGGCGAAAGCCUGACGGAGCAACGCCGCGUGAGUGAUGAAGGUCUUCGGAUCGUAAAACUCUGUUAUUAGGGAAGAACAAAUGUGUAAGUAACUAUGCACGUCUUGACGGUACCUAAUCAGAAAGCCACGGCUAACUACGUG